UCACGUGGGACUCCCCCGACGGAAGGCAGACAGGAGCCAGGAGCCGUCUCGUAGUACACUUCUCUCAUUAACGCUGUCGAUCCUCUUCGAUGUCGCAGACGAAGUGCGUUAUGGCCGGGCAGAAACAGUGCAGUGUCCUUCUGUUCCACCGAGUCUUUGAAGAGCGUUCGGCGGGGAUUCUGCGCAGUGUAUCGUGGUCUUCGAGCAGCUUCAGCACUGGAUGGUCUACUUUAUUUUUUAUGAUGGAACAGUUCUAGAGUGUGAUGGACAAGAAGACGCUAUCAGCCAGAAACUGCGUGGAAAUACACGGUUGAUAAAGCACAGCGAUGUGGAGCCCUUCAGAAAAAAAACAUGAAACUAUUGAAGGAUGGUGUUUGUCUCUCCAAAGGAGAUAUCAGAGAAGUGGUGGACGAACUGAACCUGAAUUGCGAGAAGUAUGACGUUGUCUCCAACAACUGCCAGCACUGGAUCAAAAGGCUGCUAGGACGGCUGGGUGUCCCAGUGUCUGAGGUCGAUCUGAAAGAAGCCACUGCCAUUGGAGGUGCCUUCGUUGUAGGAGCCGUAGCUGCAGCUUCAGCUUCAGCCUUGCUCCGUUCUGCGUCUCGCAAGUCAGAAGACUAAAGACCUCCAGAUUUGGUCUCCUCAAUAAUCAAAUGCGUUCUCUCGAAGUUCGUUCUCGUUCGCUCGAAAGUUCGCGUUGCUGGUGUGUCAUUCUGACAUAUCAUAAAGGAAUAGAAAUGUUUUCGGCGUACUGGAGAGGGAGUUGCAACAACGUGAGGACUGUAAAUAGUAUGCCUCCUUGAAACUGAAUGUCGUUCACCACAGCUGAAGUGUUGGUAUUGUGAAGUCCUCGUGCUCUUGCCUCAGUUGUAGUUCCAACACUUGCCAAUUAAAUAAUACAUAUGGUCCA